rnacentral:rRNA from 1 species
GACGUUUGAUCCUAGGCUCAGAACGACGCUGGCGGCAGGCUUAACACAUGCAAGUCGAACGCCCUUACGGGGAUGGCAGACGGGUGAGUAACGCGUGGGAACAUACCCUUUCCUGCGGAAUAGCUCCGGGAAACUGGAAUUAAUACCGCAUACGCCCUACGGGGGAAAGAGUUUAUCGGGGAAGGAUUGGCCCGCGUUGGAUUAGCUAGUUGGUGGGGUAAAGGCCUACCAAGGCGACGAUCCAUAGCUGGUCUGAGAGGAUGAUCAGCCACAUUGGGACUGAGACACGGCCCAAACGUCCUACGGGAGGCAGCAGUGGGGAAUAUUGGACAAUGGGCGCAAGCCUGAUCCAGCCAUGCCGCGUGAGUGAUGAAGGCCUUAGGGUUGUAAAGCUCUUUCACCGAUGAAGAUAAUGACGGUAGUCGGAGAAGAAGCCCCGGCUAACUUCGUG